AUUGAACGCUGGCGGAAUGCUUUACACAUGCAAGUCGAGCGGCAGCGCGGGGGCAACCCUGGCGGCGAGCGGCGAACGGGUGAGUAAUGUAUCGGAACGUACCCUGUCGUGGGGGAUAACACAGCGAAAGCUGUGCUAAUACCGCAUACGACCUGAGGGUGAAAGCGGGGGAUCGCAAGACCUCGCGCGAUAGGAGCGGCCGAUAUCGGAUUAGCUUGUUGGUGAGGUAAAGGCUCACCAAGGCGACGAUCCGUAGCUGGUCUGAGAGGACGACCAGCCACACUGGAACUGAGACACGGUCCAGACUCCUACGGGAGGCAGCAGUGGGGAAUUUUGGACAAUGGGGGCAACCCUGAUCCAGCCAUUCCGCGUGAGUGAAGAAGGCCUCGGUUGUAAGACUCUUCUAGCAGGAACGAAACGGUAGGCUACUAAUACUAGACUACUAAUAGACGGUACCUGAAGAAGAAGC
rnacentral:rRNA from 1 species